UAGUCCACGCCGUAAACGAUGAGUGCUAGGUGUUGGGGUAGCGAUACUUCAGUGCCGCAGCUAACGCAUUAAGCACUCCGCCUGGGGAGUACGGUCGCAAGACUGAAACUCAAAGGAAUUGACGGGGGCCCGCACAAGCAGCGGAGCAUGUGGUUUAAUUCGAAGCAACGCGAAGAACCUUACCAGGUCUUGACAUCCCGGUGCCCGUCCUAGAGAUAGGAUUUUCUCUUCGGAGACACCGGAGACAGGUGGUGCAUGGUUGUCGUCAGCUCGUGUCGUGAGAUGUUGGGUUAAGUCCCGCAACGAGCGCAACCCUUAUCUUUAGUUGCCAGCAUUUAGUUGGGCACUCUAGAGAGACUGCCGGUGACAAACCGGGAGGAAGGUGGGGAUGACGUCAAAUCAUCAUGCCCCUUAUGACCUGGGGCUACACACGUGCUACAAUGGUCGGUACAACAGGCAGCGAAGGAGCGAUCCGGGAGCGGAAUCUCAAAAGCCGAUCCC
rnacentral:rRNA from 1 species